GACGAACGCUGGCGGCGUGCUUAACACAUGCAAGUCGAACGAAGAGCGAUGGAGGCUUGCUUCUAUCAAUCUUAGUGGCGCACGGGUGAGAAACGCGUAAUCAACCUGCCCUUCAGAGGGGGACAACAGGGGGAAACGACUGCUAAUACCGCAUACGAUCUAAACUCGGCAUCGAGGAGAGAUGAAAGGUGGUCCCUACAUGUAAGCUAUCACUGAAGGAGGGGAUUGCGUCUGAUUAGCUAGGUGGGGGGGUAACGGCCCACCAAGGCGAUGCACAGUAGCCGGGCUGGGAGGAGGAACGGCCAAAAUGGGACCGGGACACGGCCCCGGCCCCUACGGGAGGCCGCAGUGGGGGAACUUCCGAAAUGGGCGAAAGUCUGACGGGGCAACGCCGGGGGGGGGAUGGCGGCCUUCGGGUUGUAAAGCUCUGUUAAUCGGGACGAAAGGCCUUCUUGCGAAUAGAGAGAAGGAUUGACGGUACCGGAAGAGAAAGCCACGGCUAACUACGUG
rnacentral:rRNA from 1 species